UGUUUAUUAUUAUUGUUGUUGUUUUACUCCGACACCCACUAUAACAUCUUCACACACAUUUUCAGAACCGCUUGUCCCUCACGGGGUCACGGGAAACCGGAGCCUACCCGGCAACACAGGGCGUAAGGCCGGAGGGGGAAGGGGACACACCCAGGACGGGACGCCAGUCCGUCGCAAGGCACCCCAAGCGGGACUCGAACCCCAGACCCACCAAAGAGCAGGACUGCGGUCCAACCCACUGCGCCACCGCAUCCCCUAUAACAUCUUCAUCUAUCCAUUAUUCUAAACUGAGCCCCCCAUCAUCCCUCACACACCUGUCCUCCACUGCGCCUCAAAAACUGGGCCUGACCUUCUGUGAAAUAGCUCUUUUACAAGAGUUGUGGAGCAAUAAAGAAUGAAUAACAGGCCUCCUCCUGCCAUGUCGAGGAAAAACGCAGCGACGCACAACAUGACGUCCUUUGGAUCCUCUGCAUUUUGCCCUGAAGUAACACAUAUAUUUACAUAACACAUAUUAUUACUCCAAAGAUAAGUUGGAAGAAAAGUGACUUGUUAAAUUGUGUAUAUGAAUAUUUUCCUCUAAAUGUAAGCAGUCCAGAAAGUGGCGGGUUGAGACCCAUAUCUCAUAUGGCGUUCCACCACGAUCCAGGGGUGCACUUGCUCCAGGAGUGACAUCACGCUCGCAAGAGUCAGCCACAGCACCACCUAUAAACUCUGCACUUUAGAGGCCUAAUUAAAAGCCCUUUUAUAGCCAUUAAACCAUGGAGUGUGCGGCAGCCUUGGUAUAAAGGGAAUAAGAGUUGAAAUAAUCUCAGCAAUGAUGUCAUGGCGCUGAGAGAAUGAACCCGCUGAUGGUUUUUUUUUUUUUGUUUGUUUUUUGCUAUUUCUAGUUUACAGCAGGAAUAAUCGGAGAAGAGCGGGACUGUGAAGAGACGCUGAUGCUGGCAUGAUAUCAUCUCACUGUCACGCCCACAGCGGUGGCAGAUUCGUUCAUUUCAGAUCAGGACCCGAGAGCCUUGUGAGAUGUCCUCCAUAGGUCUUGUGGAAAUUCAAAAAAGUGCAGGACUUAUCUAAAUAACCCUGCUCCCCUCUCUUCCCGUCUCGCGUGAGUUCUCUGCCAGGCUCAGCCACUUCUCCGAGCUCCUCGUUCAUUUCCCUUUUUUUUUUUUUUUGUGUCUCACCACUUUUCCAUUUGGAAAAAAAAAAAAAACACAAGCCAGAACUGUAACCAGAACAUGAGCUGGUUUUCUUUGUUUCUUUUGCAGCUCUGGGUAUAACUGUUAUGAUGGAAAUGGUCCUUGUCAUACCAAUCUGGCACGACAUAAAAUGUAAAGAGCUCUUGAACAAUUCGGUUUUAAACAAUUUCCUGGCAGGGAGAGACGGUAUCUAAGCAGCGACAUC
rnacentral:lncRNA from 1 species